CUACGUGCCAGCAGCCGCGGUAAUACGUAGGGUGCGAGCGUUAAUCGGAAUUACUGGGCGUAAAGCGAGCGCAGACGGUUACUUAAGCAGGAUGUGAAAUCCCCGGGCUCAACCUGGGAACUGCAUUUGAAACUGGCAAGCUAGAGUCUCGUAGAGGGGGGUAGAAUUCCAGGUGUAGCGGUGAAAUGCGUAGAGAUCUGGAGGAAUACCGGUGGCGAAGGCGGCCCCCUGGACGAAGACUGACGCUCAGGUGCGAAAGCGUGGGGAGCAAACAGGAUUAGAUACCCUGGUAGUCCACGCUGUAAACGAUGUCGAUUUGGAGGUUGUGCCCUUGAGGCGUGGCUUCCGGAGCUAACGCGUUAAAUCGACCGCCUGGGGAGUACGGCCGCAAGGUUAAAACUCAAAUGAAUUGACGGGGGCCCGCACAAGCGGUGGAGCAUGUGGUUUAAUUCGAUGCAACGCGAAGAACCUUACCUACUCUUGACAUCCAGA
rnacentral:rRNA from 1 species